AAACGUGCUGCAUCUGCUGCUGCAUGAUUAUUGGCAGCUGGGAGGCCGAAGGGGACAAAGGUUUAAUGUUGUCACAGGGCCAUGUUUCCCAUCCUGCUAUGGAAGAACACAUGUGAACCGUGCUCCCUUCCCUUUGCUGUACAAGAGACUCUUCAGCAACAUGACCAGUGAAUACCCUGUUACCUCAAUGAUGGCAAACAACUGAGGAAAAAAAUUACAGCAUAUUUUGAGGGGAAAUCCCAAAGCAUCAAGUCGCUCUCUUGUGAGGUACUUUUACUGUGUUGCUUCUGAUUGGACCCUUUUGCCUGUAAAGAGGAAAACGCAGGUUGAGGAGCUCCUGGAAGAGCUCGGUUACAUUGUGGUUGGUCUUGGCCGACGUCUCCAUGAAGGCGCACUUCCACUGAUUGGCC